CAAAAUACAAAAAAAA
rnacentral:sRNA from 1 species